rnacentral:rRNA from 1 species
CGAGCGGAUGAAGAGAGCUUGCUCUUCUGAUUCAGCGGCGGACGGGUGAGUAAUGCCUAGGAAUCUGCCUGGUAGUGGGGGACAACGUUUCGAAAGGAACGCUAAUACCGCAUACGUCCUACGGGAGAAAGCAGGGGACCUUCGGGCCUUGCGCUAUCAGAUGAGCCUAGGUCGGAUUAGCUAGUUGGUGAGGUAAUGGCUCACCAAGGCGACGAUCCGUAACUGGUCUGAGAGGAUGAUCAGUCACACUGGAACUGAGACACGGUCCAGACUCCUACGGGAGGCAGCAGUGGGGAAUAUUGGACAAUGGGCGAAAGCCUGAUCCAGCCAUGCCGCGUGUGUGAAGAAGGUCUUCGGAUUGUAAAGCACUUUAAGUUGGGAGGAAGGGUUGUAGAUUAAUACUCUGCAAUUUUGACGUUACCGACAGAAUAAGCACCGGCUAACUCUGUGCCAGCAGCCGCGGUAAUACAGAGGGUGCAAGCGUUAAUCGGAAUUACUGGGCGUAAAGCGCGCGUAGGUGGUUUGUUAAGUUGGAUGUGAAAGCCCCGGGCUCAACCUGGGAACUGCAUUCAAAACUGACAAGCUAGAGUAUGGUAGAGGGUGGUGGAAUUUCCUGUGUAGCGGUGAAAUGCGUAGAUAUAGGAAGGAACACCAGUGGCGAAGGCGACCACCUGGACUGAUACUGACACUGAGGUGCGAAAGCGUGGGGGAGCAAACAGGAUUAGAUACCCUGGUAGUCCACGCCGUAAACGAUGUCAACUAGCCGUUGGGAGCCUUGAGCUCUUAGUGGCGCAGCUAACGCAUUAAGUUGACCGCCUGGGGAGUACGGCCGCAAGGUUAAAACUCAAAUGAAUUGACGGGGGCCCGCACAAGCGGUGGAGCAUGUGGUUUAAUUCGAAGCAACGCGAAGAACCUUACCAGGCCUUGACAUCCAAUGAACUUUCCAGAGAUGGAUUGGUGCCUUCGGGAACAUUGAGACAGGUGCUGCAUGGCUGUCGUCAGCUCGUGUCGUGAGAUGUUGGGUUAAGUCCCGUAACGAGCGCAACCCUUGUCCUUAGUUACCAGCACGUUAUGGUGGGCACUCUAAGGAGACUGCCGGUGACAAACCGGAGGAAGGUGGGGAUGACGUCAAGUCAUCAUGGCCCUUACGGCCUGGGCUACACACGUGCUACAAUGGUCGGUACAGAGGGUUGCCAAGCCGCGAGGUGGAGCUAAUCCCAUAAAACCGAUCGUAGUCCGGAUCGCAGUCUGCAACUCGACUGCGUGAAGUCGGAAUCGCUAGUAAUCGCGAAUCAGAAUGUCGCGGUGAAUACGUUCCCGGGCCUUGUACACACCGCCCGUCACACCAUGGGAGUGGGUUGCACCAGAAGUAGCUAGUCUAAC